rnacentral:rRNA from 1 species
UACGAAGGGGGCUAGCGUUGCUCGGAAUCACUGGGCGUAAAGCGCACGUAGGCGGCUUCUUAAGUCAGGGGUGAAAUCCUGGAGCUCAACUCCAGAACUGCCUUUGAUACUGAGGAGCUUGAGUCCGGGAGAGGUGAGUGGAACUCCGAGUGUAGAGGUGAAAUUCGUAGAUAUUCGGAGGAACACCAGUGGCGAAGGCGGCUCACUGGCUCGGUACUGACGCUGAGGUGCGAAAGCGUGGGGAGCAAACAGG